GACGAACGCUGGCGGCGUGCUUAACACAUGCAAGUCGAACGGAAAGGCCCUGCUUUUGUGGGGUGCUCGAGUGGCGAACGGGUGAGUAACACGUGAGUAACCUGCCCUUGACUUUGGGAUAACUUCACGAAACUGGGGCUAAUACCGGAUAGGGGCUCCUGCUCCAUGGUGGGGGUUGGAAAGUUUCGGCGGUUGGGGCUGGUCUCGCGGCCUAUCAGUUAGUUGGUGGGGUAGUGGCUUACCAAGUCUUUGACGGAUAGCCGGCCUGAGUGGGUGACCGGACGCAUUGGAACUGAGUUACGGGCCAGGCUCCUACGGGAGGCAGUGGUGGAGAAUAGUGCACAAUGGUCGGAAGCCUGAUGCAGCAACGCCGCGUGCGUGAAGACGGCCUUCGGGUUGUAAACCGCUUUCGCCUGUGACGAAGCGUGAGUGACAGUAAUGGGUAAAGAAGCACCGGCUAACUACGUG
rnacentral:rRNA from 1 species